CAAGGAAGGAGCAGUAGGUCAGCUAAGCCAAUGAAGGAGCAGUAGGUCAGCUGAGCCAAGGAAGGAGCAGUAGGUCAGCUGAGCCAAGGAAGGAGCAGUAGGUCAGCUGAGCCAAGGAAGGAGCAGUAGGUCAGCUGAGCCAAGGAAGGAGCAGUAGGUCAGCUGAGCCAAGGAAGGAGCAGUAGGUCAGCUGAGCCAAGGAAGGAGCAGUAGGUCAGCUGAGCCAAGGAAGGAGCAGUAGGUCAGCUAAGCCAAGGAAGGAGCCAGUAGGUCAGCUAAGCCAAGGAAAGUGAGGAAGCAGCAGUAGCUAAGCUGAGGAAGGAGCAGUAGGUUAGCUAAGCCAAGGAAAGAGAGGACGGGGCCAUAGGUCAGCUAUGCCAAGGAAGGAGCAGUAGGUCAGCUAUGCCAAGGAAGGAGCAGUAGGUCAGCUAUGCCAAGGAAGGAGCAGUAGGUCAGCUAAGCCAAGGAAGGAGCAGUAGGUCAGCUAAGCCAAGGAAGGAGCCAGUAGGUUACCUAAGCCAAGGAAAGUGAGGAAGUAGCAGUAGCUAAGCUGAGGAAGGAGCAGUAAGUUAGCUAAGACUUGGAAUGAGCAGUAGGUUAGCUUAGACAAGGAAAGAGAGGAAUGAGCAGUAGGUUAGCGAAGACAAGGAAAGAGAGGAAUGAGCAGUAGGUUAGCGAAGACUUAGAGAGGAAGGAGCAGUAGGUUAGCUAAGACUUGGAAUGAGCAGUAGGUUAGCUAAGACAAGGAAAGUGAGGACGGAGCAGUAGGUUAGCUAAGCCAAGGAAGGAGCAGUAGGUUAGCUAAGCCAAGGAAGGAGCAGUAGGUUAGCUAAGCCAAUGAAGGAGCAGUAGGUUAGCUAAGCCAAGGAAGGAGAAGUAGUUUAGCUGAGCCAAGGAAGGAGCAGUAGGUCAGCUGAGCCAAGGAAGGAGCAGUAGGUCAACUAAGCCAAGGAAGGAGCAGUAGGUCAGCUAAGCCAAGGAAGGAGCAGUAGGUCAGCUGAGCCAAGGAAGGAGCAGUAGGUCAGCUGAGCCAAGGAAGGAGCAGUAGGUCAGCUAAGCCAAGGAAGGAGCAGUAGGUCAGCUAAGCCAAUGAAGGAGCAGUAGGUUAGCUAAGCCAAGGAAGGAGCAGUAGGUUAGCUAAGCCAAGGAAGGAGCAGUAGGUUAGCUAAGCCAAGGAAGGAGCAGUAGGUUAGCUAAGCCUAGGAAGGAGCAGUAGGUUAGCUAAGCCUAGGAAGGAGCAGUAGGUUAGCUAAGCCAAGGAAGGAGCAGUAGGUCAGCUAAGCCAAGGAAGGAGCAGUAGGUCAGCUAAGCCAAGGAAGGAGCCAGUAGGUCAGCUUAGACAAACUGAGGAAGGAGCAGUAGGUUAGCUAAGGCAAGGAAAGUGAGGACGGAGCAGUAGGUUAGCUAAGCCAAGGAAGGAGCAGUAGGUUAGCUAAGCCAAGGAAGGAGCAGUAGGUCAGCUGAGCCAAGGAAGGAGCAGUAGGUCAGCUGAGCCAAGGAAGGAGCAGUAGGUCAGCUAAGCCAAGGAAGGAGCAGUAGGUCAGCUAAGCCAAGGAAGGAGCCAGUAGGUCAGCUAAGCCAAGGAAAGUGAGGAAGCAGCAGUAGCUAAGCUGAGGAAGGAGCAGUAGGUUAGCUAAGACUUGGAAAGAGAGGAAUGAGCAGUAGGUUAGCUAAGCCAAGGAAAGAGAGGAUGGGGCCAUACGUCAGCUGAGCCAAGGAAGGAGCAGUAGGUCAGCUAAGCCAAGGAAAGUGAGGACGGAGCAGUAGGUCAGCUAAGCCAAAGAAAGUGAGGAAGCAGCAGUAGCUAAGCCAAGGAAGGAGCAGUAGUUUAGCUGAGCCAAGGAAGGAGCAGUAGGUCAGCUAAGUCAAGGAAGGAGCAGUAGGUCAGCUGAGCCAAGGAAGGAGCAGUAGGUCAGCUGAGCCAAGGAAGGAGCAGUAGGUCAGCUGAGCCAAGGAAGGAGCAGUAGGUCAGCUGAGCCAAGGAAGGAGCAGUAGGUCAGCUAAGCCAAGGAAGGAGCCAGUAGGUCAGCUAAGCCAAGGAAAGUGAGGAAGCAGCAGUAGCUAAGCUGAGGAAGGAGCAGUAGGUUAGCUAAGACUUGGAAAGAGAGGAAUGAGCAGUAGGUUAGCUAAGCCAAGGAAAGAGAGGACGGGGCCAUACGUCAGCUGAGCCAAGGAAGGAGCAGUAGGUCAGCUAAGCCAAGGAAGGAGCAGUAGGUCAGCUAAGCCAAGGAAAGUGAGGAAGCAGCUGUAGCUAAGCCAAGGAAGGAGCAGUAGUUUAGCUGAGCCAAGGAAGGAGCAGUAGGUCAGCUAAGCCAAGGAAGGAGCAGUAGGUCAGCUAAGCCAAGGAAGGAGCAGUAGGUCAGCUGAGCCAAUGAAGGAGCAGUAGGUCAGCUGAGCCAAGGAAGGAGCAGUAGGUCAGCUGAGCCAAGGAAGGAGCAGUAGGUCAGCUGAGCCAAGGAAGGAGCAGUAGGUCAGCUGAGCCAAGGAAGGAGCAGUAGGUCAGCUGAGCCAAGGAAGGAGCAGUAGUUUAGCUGAGCCAAGGAAGGAGCAGUAGUUUAGCUGAGCCAAGGAAGGAGCAGUAGUUUAGCUGAGCCAAGGAAGGAGCAGUAGGUCAGCUAAGCCAAGGAAGGAGCAGUAGGUCAGCUGAGCCAAGGAAGGAGCAGUAGGUCAGCUGAGCCAAGGAAGGAGCAGUAGGUCAGCUAAGCCAAGGAAUGAGCAGUAGGUCAGCUAAGCCAAGGAAAGUGAGGAAGCAGCAGUAACUAAGCUGAGGAAGGAGCAGUAGGUCAGCUAAGCCAAGGAAGGAGCAGUAGGUCAGCUGAGCCAAGGAAGGAGCAGUAGGUCAGCUGAGCCAAGGAAGGAGCAGUAGGUCAGCUGAGCCAAGGAAGGAGCAGUAGGUCAGCUGAGCCAAGGAAGGAGCAGUAGGUCAGCUGAGCCAAGGAAGGAGCAGUAGGUCAGCUGAGCCAAGGAAGGAGCAGUAGGUCAGCUAAGCCAAGGAAGGAGCAGUAGGUCAGCUAAGCCAAGGAAGGAGCAGUAGGUCAGCUAAGCCAAGGAAGGAGCAGUAGGUCAGCUAAGCCAAGGAAGGAGCCAGGAGGUCAGCUAAGCCAAGGAAAGUGAGGAAGCAGCAGUAGCUAAGCUGAGGAAGGAGCAGUAGGUUAGCUAAGCCAAGGAAAGAGAGGACGGGGCCAUAGGUCAGCUAUGCCAAGGAAGGAGCAGUAGGUCAGCUAUGCCAAGGAAGGAGCAGUAGGUCAGCUAUGCCAAGGAAGGAGCAGUAGGUCAGCUAAGCCAAGGAAGGAGCAGUAGGUCAGCUAAGCCAAGGAAGGAGCCAGUAGGUUACCUAAGCCAAGGAAAGUGAGGAAGUAGCAGUAGCUAAGCUGAGGAAGGAGCAGUAAGUUAGCUUAGACAAGGAAAGAGAGGAAUGAGCAGUAGGUUAGCGAAGACAAGGAAAGAGAGGAAGGAGCAGUAGGUUAGCUAAGACUUGGAAUGAGCAGUAGGUUAGCUAAGACAAGGAAAGUGAGGACGGAGCAGUAGGUUAGCUAAGCCAAGGAAGGAGCAGUAGGUUAGCUAAGCCAAGGAAGGAGCAGUAGGUUAGCUAAGCCAAUGAAGGAGCAGUAGGUUAGCUAAGCCAAGGAAGGAGAAGUAGGUUAGCUGAGCCAAGGAAGGAGCAGUAGGUCAGCUGAGCCAAGGAAGGAGCAGUAGGUCAACUAAGCCAAGGAAGGAGCAGUAGGUCAGCUAAGCCAAGGAAGGAGCAGUAGGUCAGCUGAGCCAAGGAAGGAGCAGUAGGUCAGCUGAGCCAAGGAAGGAGCAGUAGGUUAGCUAAGCCAAGGAAGGAGCAGUAGGUUAGCUAAGCCAAGGAAGGAGCAGUAGGUUAGCUAAGCCAAGGAAGGAGCAGUAGGUUAGCUAAGCCAAGGAAGGAGCAGUAGGUUAGCUAAGCCAAGGAAGGAGCAGUAGGUUAGCUAAGCCAAGGAAGGAGCAGUAGGUUAGCUAAGCCAAGGAAGGAGCAGUAGGUUAGCUAAGCCAAGGAAGGAGCAGUAGGUUAGCUAAGCCAAGGAAGGAGCAGUAGGUUAGCUAAGCCAAGGAAGGAGCAGUAGGUUAGCUAAGCCAAGGAAGGAGCAGUAGGUUAGCUAAGCCUAGGAAGGAGCAGUAGGUUAGCUAAGCCUAGGAAGGAGCAGUAGGUUAGCUAAGCCAAGGAAGGAGCAGUAGGUCAGCUAAGCCAAGGAAGGAGCAGUAGGUCAGCUAAGCCAAGGAAGGAGCCAGUAGGUCAGCUAAGGCAAGGAAGGAGCAGUAGGUCAGCUAAGCCAAGGAAAGUGAGGAAGCAGCAGUAGCUAAGCCAAGGAAGGAGCAGUAGUUUAGCUGAGCCAAGGAAGGAGCAGUAGUUUAGCUGAGCCAAGGAAGGAGCAGUAGGUCAGCUGAGCCAAGGAAGGAGCAGUAGGUCAGCUGAGCCAAGGAAGGAGCAGUAGGUCAGCUAAGCCAAGGAAGGAGCCAGUAGGUUACCUAAGCCAAGGAAAGUGAGGAAGUAGCAGUAGCUAAGCUGAGGAAGGAGCAGUAAGUUAGCUAAGACUUGGAAUGAGCAGUAGGUUAGCUUAGACAAGGAAAGAGAGGAAUGAGCAGUAGGUUAGCGAAGACAAGGAAAGAGAGGAAGGAGCAGUAGGUUAGCUAAGACUUGGAAUGAGCAGUAGGUUAGCUAAGACAAGGAAAGUGAGGACGGAGCAGUAGGUUAGCUAAGCCAAGGAAGGAGAAGUAGUUUAGCUGAGCCAAGGAAGGAGCAGUAGGUCAGCUGAGCCAAGGAAGGAGCAGUAGGUCAACUAAGCCAAGGAAGGAGCAGUAGGUCAGCUAAGCCAAGGAAGGAGCAGUAGGUCAGCUGAGCCAAGGAAGGAGCAGUAGGUUAGCUAAGCCAAGGAAGGAGCAGUAGGUUAGCUAAGGCAAGGAAGGAGCAGUAGGUCAGCUAAGCCAAGGAAAGUGAGGAAGCAGCAGUAGCUAAGCCAAGGAAGGAGCAGUAGUUUAGCUGAGCCAAGGAAGGAGCAGUAGUUUAGCUGAGCCAAGGAAGGAGCAGUAGGUCAGCUGAGCCAAGGAAGGAGCAGUAGGUCAGCUGAGCCAAGGAAGGAGCAGUAGGUCAGCUGAGCCAAGGAAGGAGCAGUAGGUCAGCUGAGCCAAGGAAGGAGCAGUAGGUCAGCUAAGCCAAGGAAGGAGCCAGUAGGUCAGCUAAGCCAAGGAAAGUGAGGAAGCAGCAGUAGCUAAGCUGAGGAAGGAGCAGUAGGUCAGCUAAGCCAAGGAAGGAGCAGUAGGUCAGCUAAGCCAAAGAAGGAGCAGUAGGUCAGCUAAGCCAAGGAAGGAGCAGUAGGUCAGCUAAGCCAAGGAAGGAGCAGUAGGUCAGCUAAGCCAAGGAAGGAGCCAGUAGGUUACCUAAGCCAAGGAAAGUGAGGAAGUAGCAGUAGCUAAGCUGAGGAAGGAGCAGUAAGUUAGCUAAGACUUGGAAUGAGCAGUAGAUUAGCUUAGACAAGGAAAGAGAGGAAUGAGCAGUAGGUUAGCGAAGACAAGGAAAGAGAGGAAUGAGCAGUAGGUUAGCGAAGACUUAGAGAGGAAGGAGCAGUAGGUUAGCUAAGACUUGGAAUGAGCAGUAGGUUAGCUAAGACAAGGAAAGAGAGGAAUGAGCAGUUGGUUAGCUAAGACUUGGAAAGAGAGGAAUGAGCAGUUGGUUAGCUUAGACUUGGAAAGAGGAAUGAGUAGUUGGUUAGCUAAGACUUAGAGA